rnacentral:rRNA from 1 species
CCUACGGGAGGCAGCAGUGGGGAAUAUUGGGCAAUGGGCGCAAGCCUGACCCAGCAAUGCCGCGUGAAGGAAGAAGGCUUUCGGGUUGUAAACUUCCUUGACAGGGGAAGAGCAGAAGACGGUACCCUGAAAACAAGCCACGGCUAACUACGUGCCAGCAGCCGCGGUAAUACGUAGGUGGCAAGGUUUGUCCGGAUUUACUGGGGUAAAGGGCGUGUAGCCGGGAAUGCAAGUCAGAUGUUAAAUCUUGGGGCUCAACCUCCCAAUUGCAGUUGAAACCGUUUUUCUUGAGUACCAGAGAGGCAGACGGAAGUCCUUGUGUAGCGGUGAAAUGCGUAGAUAUAAGGAGGAACGCCAGUGGCGAAGGCAGUCUGCUGGACAGCAACUGACGGUGAGGCGCGAAAGCGUGGGGAGCGAACAGGAUUAGAUACCCGUGUAGUC